CCCCCUGUUUUACAAAAACAUAGUUUAAGGAAAUAAUCUUAAAUGAAUUCUGCCCAGUGAUUUUUUUUUAAAUGGCCGCAGUACCUUGACUGUGCUAAGGUAGCAUAAUCAAUUGGCUUCUAAUUAAAGUCUGGAAUGAAAGGAAAUAUGAAGUAAUUCUAUCUUAAAGGAUUUUUUUUGAAUUUAUUUAAAUGAUGAAAAUAUCAUUUUAUAGAAAAAAGACGAGAAGACCCUUAGAGUUUUGAUAUUUAUAUAUUUUUGUUGGGGCGACAGGUAAACAUAUAACUUUACGAAUUAUCAUUGAUCGAUUUUUUAUAAGAAUAAUAAAACUACCUUAGGGAUAACAGCAUUAUAUUUUUUUUAUGAUUGUGACCUCGAUGUUGGACUAGGAACUUUAUGGCUAGCCGUCAAAAAAGAUUGUCGCCCGUUACAU
rnacentral:rRNA from 1 species